rnacentral:tRNA from 1 species
AUCUUUCUAGUACUAACAUGAGUAUAGGUGACUUCCAAUCAUAAGGUCUUGGUUAAAAUCCAAGGAAAGAUA